rnacentral:rRNA from 1 species
GAUGAACGCUGGCGGCGUGCCUAAUACAUGCAAGUCGAGCGAACAGACGAGGAGCUUGCUCCUCUGACGUUAGCGGCGGACGGGUGAGUCACACGUGGAUAACCUACCUAUAAGACUGGGAUAACUUCGGGAAACCGGAGCUAAUACCGGAUAAUAUAUUGAACCGCAUGGUUCAAUAGUGAAAGACGGUUUUGCUGUCACUUAUAGAUGGAUCCGCGCCGCAUUAGCUAGUUGGUAAGGUAACGGCUUACCAAGGCAACGAUGCGUAGCCGACCUGAGAGGGUGAUCGGCCACACUGGAACUGAGACACGGUCCAGACUCCUACGGGAAGCAGCAGUAGGGAAUCUUCCGCAAUGGGCGAAAGCCUGACGGAGCAACGCCGCGUGAGUGAUGAAGGUCUUCGGAUCGUAAAACUCUGUUAUUAGGGAAGAACAAAUGUGUAAGUAACUAUGCACGUCUUGACGGUACCUAAUCAGAAAGCCACGGCUAACUACGUG